UUGGCAACGAAGUGUAAGUGGUUGUGAUAUUGCGUUGUUGAUUGUUACGUUUAGAUCUGCAACUAUGCCUAUGUCGAUUGCUUCUACACCAACCAUCAUUUGUAAUGUCACAAAUAUUAUUGCUAACAUAAACGAUGAUAACACAAUUUUGUUCAUUAAAAUAGCCAUGAUAUAUAUAAUUGAUGAUUUUACUCACUAUUCG
rnacentral:lncRNA from 1 species